GACGAACGCUGGCGGCGUGCUUAACACAUGCAAGUCGAGCGGAGCGGCGAACGGGUGAGUAACGCGUGAGUAACUGCCCCCCUCUCUGGGAUAACAGUUGGAAACGGCUGCUAAUACCGGAUAGUGGGGGAUGACUCGCGUCCCAUCAGCUUGUUGGUGGGGUAGUGGCCUACCAAGGCGACGACGGGUAGCCGGCCUGAGAGGGCGGCCGGCCACCUUGGGCUGAGGGACGGCCCAAACUCCUACGGGGGGCAGCAGUGGGGAAUUGUGCACAAUGGGGGAAACCCUGAUGCAGCGGCGCGCGUGCGGGAUGACGGCCUUUGGGUUGUAAACCGCUUUCAGCCAUGACGCGGUAGUGGCAGAAGAAGCACCGGCUAACUACGUGCCAGCAGCCGCGGUAAUUC
rnacentral:rRNA from 1 species